AUUGAACGCUGGCGGAAUGCUUUAUACAUGCAAGUCGAACGGCAGCACGGACUUCGGUCUGGUGGCGAGUGGCGAACGGGUGAGUAAUGUAUCGGAACGUGCCCAGUCGUGGGGGAUAACGUAGUGAAAAUUACGCUAAUACCGCAUACGAUCUAUGGAUGAAAGCGGGGGAUCGCAAGACCUCGCGCGAUUGGAGCGGCCGAUAUCAGAUUAGGUAGUUGGUGGGGUAAAGGCCCACCAAGCCAACGAUCUGGAGCUGGUCUGAGAGGACGACCAGCCACACUGGAACUAAGACACGGUCCAGACUCCUACGGGAGGCAGCAGUGGGGAAUUUUGGACAAUGGGCGAAAGCCUGAUCCAGCCAUUCCGCGUGCAGGAUGAAGGCCCUCGGGUUGUAAACUGCUUUUGUACAGAACGAAAAGGUUUCUACUAAUACUAGGAGCUCAUGACGGUACUGUAAGAAUAAGCACCGGCUAACUACGUGCCAGCCGCCGCCGCUG
rnacentral:rRNA from 1 species